UCAUGACAACAAUUCACAACACAGCAAGUAAGAAAAAAUAUUAUCCCCGACGUAGCAAAAAUUCAUCGAGGGAGUCAUGUGCUUGUGUAAACAAUUUCAUUUUUGCGAAAGGCACCGCUAUCAUGUCUAGCUAAUCUGAUUUGAAGCACCAUACAAGGCAUCAAAGAAUGGCAACAUUAGAAAUUCCAGAUAGAGCAAUGCUAAAAAAUAUUAAAAUUGCAGAGUUUAGAAGAUGUAGCCGGAUGUGACAUUACAGGACAUCAUACAAAGGAAAAUCAUUAUCUGGUUUUGACUAUAUCAAAGUUAAAGAACGACAUUGUCGAACUUAUGCACAUUGAAUUCAAGAGAAUAAUUUCUACCCAGCACAUUGUACACUGAGCUACAUCGUUCCAUUAAACAAUUAUGGACUUUAGGAGAGGUAAAACUAAAUUGUCUAAUUAAGAUAAUUUAUAGUCCUAUUUCUCUUAUGCAAUAUCGUUUAUGAUUUUACUGUACUUUAAUAAUUAAUCGGUCCUUCAAUGCCCCAAUAAACUAGCCAAUCAAAUAUGAAUAUAAAAUUAACUGAAUUGCCACAUAUCUAUACAUAUGUUGUGAGUUAACAUAAAAACAACAUUGAACAAAAAUCAAGAAAAGAAAAAAUUAUUUUAUAUCGUAUGCUUUUGUAUUAAAUUUCUUGGAUAAGUAGAUAUAUUCACGAAUGUUAACUAUAGUUUAGAACCUUCAUUUAAUUUAUAAGACUUAAAUUGGUACUGAUUUGGCCUUUCAAAUAUAAUAUAUUCAUUUGUUCAUUGAAAUAGACAAUAAUUUUUUAUUGAUAGGCUUCAUAUUUAAAAAUGACCCCUCCCCCCCUCCUGCCCCUUGUCUUCAUUUACCAAAUAACUGCUUAAAAUGCACUAAAUGAUUUAUGUUCUUCAAAACUUCUUACUUGAGA
rnacentral:lncRNA from 1 species